ensembl:lncRNA
AGCAGAUUAUCCUCCAUUGUGGGGUAGUUCUCACACCCUCAGUUGAAGCCCUUAAGAGGAAUGACUGAGGUCUCCCAAAUAGAAUGGGAUUCUGUCUCCAGACUCAAGACUGCAAUACCAACAUCAACUCUUGAUUACAUUUCCAGCCUGCUGUGAGAUCAAACUCAGGACCUUGCACUUCAGGAUCCCAGUUGGUGGUACAAGAAGGAGACUGACUAGAAACAGCAAGUGCAACUCUCCCCUGCAGAAGUCAUCUCCAGUCCUGGCCUCCAAGAUGCCCAGAUAAAGUCCUGAGACCAGAGCAGCUUGAAGAAGAAAAGCAUUGCCCAACCCAGGAGAAAACAUGGUACCAUGAAGUGAACUGGAAGGAACAAGCAGCAAACAACAUGAGCAGUUCCUCAAGGAUAUCAAAUAUUGACAUUAUUACUUGCCAAAAACAAAUGCUAUGUGCUUAAUGAAAUAAAAUAAUUUGGAGGCCUUAGCAAAGACCAAGAGACUAUAAAGAACAUCUAAGGAGAUCUGAAAUAAAACCAACAAGUACUUCAGGGCAUGAAAAUAAGACAGAGAGGAAUUCGAGCCCUUGAAAGUUAAUCAGAGAGUGAUGGAAAGGCCUGAUACCAGUAUGUCACUCCCCACUUCAGUGUGCAGACCUCAAACUUACCCAGUGUCCCUUCUCUGAAGCCCUUCAGCCGAAAAAUAGAAAUGCCUCUGAUUUAACAGAAAUCUGGAAGAGUUCACAGUCUGGCCCAGAGAAGUUCGUUUUAAAUUGACAGCUUUAAAAUACGGUUGAGAAGGAGCCGAGGUCGGCUGCUGCCUCAGAUCUGUCCGUGGCAGUCAGUGCCUAGGUCUCGGCCUCUGGCUCUGUCCAGCCUGUUCCUGCAGGUCUGCCUCACCCCGUUAUGCGCC